CCUACGGGAGGCAGCAGUGAGGAAUAUUGGUCAAUGGGCGUAAGCCUGAACCAGCCAAGUCGCGUGAAGGAAGAAGGAUCUACGGGUUGUAAACUUCUUUUAUAGGGGAAUAAAGGGAUUCACGUGUGGAGCUUUUCAUGUACCCUAUGAAUAAGCACCGGCUAACUCCGUGCCCGCAGCCGCGGUAAUACGGAGGGUUCGGGCGUUAUACGGAUUUAUUGGGGUUAAAGGUGGCGUAGGCUGUAUUUUAAUGCUGCGGUGAAAGUCUCUGGCUCAACCAUAGAAUUGCAGUUGAAACUGGAGGACUUGAGUGUGUGGGAGGAAGGCGGAAUGCGUGGUGUAGCGGUGAAAUGCAUAGAUAUCACGAAGAACUUCGAUUGCGAAGGCAGCUUACU
rnacentral:rRNA from 1 species